GCAUACUGAAAUACGAAAACUCAAUACAAAGAAUCAAGAAGGUGAUUUUAAGUUUUUUUUCUCUCCUCCUUCGUCUAUAAUAUUUUUGUUUCUUUUUGCAUCUAUUUUGCUUCGUAGAAUAAUCUCUUUUUUUUUUUAAAAAAAGGAAAUGAAAGAGGUUUAGCUAGAUGCAUCAACGAGAUCCUUGUUUCCUCCGUCGAAAUCAGAGUUUGAAAUGGGGAUUUCCGAGUGAAAGCAGUCAUUGAGUUUAGACUUUGAUCAAAAUAAGGAGCGUCUUUACAUCAUCCACCAAUUUUAAUGGUGAACUGAUGGUUGAAUUGCCGGAUUGGAUGGAGGAGGGCUGCUGUGCCGAAACCCUAGUAAUUGGGUAUUAGGUUUGUGGCUUGAAGAAAUGGCCAAUUGCCAUUCAAUGGCUUUUAAUUUUGAAACAAAAUGAAACGGUGCAGUUUAAGGGUAGGGAGAUCCGCACGUUGACCCAUUCCCAGACUCGGAUCUGUGCCUCUAUGCUUCAAAUGGGAAAUUGGCACGGUUAAUCCCUCCCUUUUGCGCCGCAUUUCAGUUGACCCGUAUUGGCAUCUUAUUUGUUUUUUAAAAUUUCCCCAAAAGUUUGUGUGCUAUUUCAUUUUAGUCCGCGUCUAGAUGCUGCGUUUUGGGGAUCUGGAAUAUUGCUAACUUUGGCCCCUGUACAUUUUUUUGCAUUGCAUGAUGGUCCUCUUUUUGAUUAUUUUAUUUGUAAAUUAUCCCUGCUAUUUUAAGUUUAUUUUAAUUAAGUCUUCUGUUUAUAUAAUUCGUUAUUUUUUAAGGAGAUUCACUUAAUUUUUU
rnacentral:lncRNA from 1 species